GGUGAAGGGGAAAUUUUGCAGAUAAUAGAGUUGUAGCCUCUCUUACUUCUGGUGGCUGCUGCCCCCCUUGUGGCUGAAGUUGGUUGGGGGGGGGGCGCUUGCUGCAGGCUUCCUGAUGGGAGGGGCUGAUGCCUGCCCACUGGAUGGCCUCCAAGAACUGAAGACAGGUUUGACCCAGAUUCCUAUGGAGACUUUGCUUUGCCCUGGGACCCAGUGCACGUGAAAGUCUGUGUGUGCCUUUUAAGAAUGGGGUCUCCAUUUGUAGGAGAAAAUGUCCUGAUAAAAAUGUAAAAAGGAGAGACCCCGCCAUGAUGACGAAGCAAAACCUGGUCAACUACCUCUAACCACCCCUCCCCCACACAUCUGCUUCUGUAAACUUGCCAGUUCUCACUGGUCCACCAAGCAUGGACCCAGAAGAACUAGCCCAAAAAAGCCUUGUCGAAUGCCUCUUUGGGGCUCAGACUCCGGAGAGGAUCUCCUCUGAACCGGCUGGUGUAAUAAGCCUGAGUUCUCCAACUCCCCGAGUGCUCGCUUGGUUUCUCACCCAGUAAAAGAGCGGAUCCACUGCAGCCACAGAGCUGCUGGAGCUGGUCCACUACAGCCACAGGGCUGUUGCCAGAGCUGAUACGCUGCAGCGCAGGGCUGCUGGGCAGCUGCCAUAACAUUUCUGGAGGCCCCAGCGAGAUUCCAACCAUUCUGGCCCCUUGAGCCACCGGAACAGAGGUAAGGCUGCCCCGGAGCUGGAGAACCUCGAACCAAACCAGGCGGCGCGCCACCCGACGGUAUUCCGGGUCCUCCUUCAUGAGCGGCAUUCCUGACUCCCCGGUGACUGAACCCCGACCAGACUCAGUGGAGAGACAGACCAACUCACCAGGAAGGCAUCCGGACAAGGUAAGGCCCCGGGGCCAACCCCAGUCAUGCCCCAGUGGGCAGAAGAGGGGACUGAUCACCCCCUUAGGGAGACUCUCCCAGUCGGAAGCUGUGCCUGACUGGAGCAGUAGUCCUUGUGCUCCAGAUCGGAAGCAGAGGAACCUCUUGCUUGGGUGGAGCAACUGUCAGGUGUAGCUGAUUGAAAGUUGUGCUUGAUCGAGCUACUGAGUGUGUGUGAGGGUGAAUGAGCGGCCUGAUUCGCUUGCGCUUCAGGUUCGAGUUUGUGGCUCCAUAGUCUUAGUAGCUACGGAGUCCGAGUGGGUCCUAACCUGCAGUUCCUUGGUGACCUCAUAUGGCUUAUGGCUGUAGCAGACUCUGAGGGUUCUCUUCCCUCCCUGCAAGUCCAAUUCGAGUUUGGGGCUUAUACGAACCAGCCAAUUGCUAAGAGGCACCUAAACUCCCGAGAGGGCCACCUUCUGAGAAGGGGGCACCCACCCUUGUUUUGUCUGCGACACCAGCACAGGGCGGCCACAUGGGGUGGGACCUAACCCUGAAGCCCAUGAGCCAGAGACCCCUGUGCUCCCACCAUUUGGGCCAUAAAUUCCUCCAAGGAGAUAAUCUAACUUGACUUUGCCCCUGAGGCUCCAGGAACUCCCAUCCUAGAUUCUAAACCACGCGACUGCCCAAUCUGUCAGUUCACAUAGGCCCAGGAUCUGAGUCAGGGAGACAAGACUGUCAUCCCUGUCUCAGUUCAGGGUAUAGGGAGGAUUGGGUACAAAGCCCCCUGUCCUUUGCCCAAACAUUAGAACUUGUCUGAGAGUGCCUUCCCGAGAUCAGGGGCCUAGAUGGAUCAGAGACACUUGAAACAAAGCAGGUGCUCUCCCCAGCCAUAGAGCGAGCUGAGUGGGAGCUGUCUUGCUUACAGGAACAGUGGAGGCAAUGCUACUGGGGAUACCGCCCACGAGGUCAGAGAAGGUCUCAUAAUAUCAGGCCACAGACAAGAUCCAUAAAAAGACACCAUGGGUUCUCCCAAGUCUAAACCCAUGGUGCUAGACUGUGUGAUCAAAGAUUUCAAAAAGGGAUUUUUCAGAAGAUUAUUGUGUAAAACUAACCUGAUCUUUCAUCAUUUCCUUUGCUACUACCUCAAAUAGAGCUGUGGGGGCAAAGGAAACAGACCUCUAGAUGUUAAGACCACCCUGAGUU
rnacentral:lncRNA from 1 species